CUUGGCAGAAAUCAGUGAAAAAUCAGAGACGAGCUUCGUCCCGGGCAGAAGCAAAACGUUUUCGCACUUAUGCACAUCAUUUAGUGCAUUCAGUGCUGUGAACCCGCAUUGAAGGAUGUUCGUCCUUUGGUGGUUGCUCAGCUUCCGCGGUUCCAGAGGACGCGCGAAAGGAACAAAUCUCACAGCUAAUAAAAUUGCGGGCAUAUGACAUAGCCGUGGGUGGUGCCACGCCUCCCGCCUCUCCAUAUCUGGAUUUUAUUAGAAAGCCAAUGAGGAAAGAAAAGAUCAGUGGGAGGCUUACAACUCUUUUUCUAUUUCCACAAUGCAACUUCACUUUAUUUAAAAGCGGUAUUUCUCCAUGACAAAAAGUUCAAAUUUUUAAAAUUUGUUCCAAGAAUUAUAAGCAUAUUGAUGGGGAAUCAAAAAACA